AAUUAUACAAUAACGAGAUUUGUGCAUUUUAGUCGCAUUAUGUACAGAAAUAAUACCGAUUAUUAAAUUAUUAAAUAUCAGACCAGAAGUUUUACAUGCUCUUUUUUCAGUAAAACAUUUGUGUAAAGAAAAUUAUAGUUUGGAUUAUUCUUAUUUCACUGUAAUUUACGUUGUCUGAUAUACGUCUAUUAGUGAACAACGCUGUAACCGUCCGAUACCACUCGCUUCCCCUUUAACUUUGAAAAAAUGAUAUACUGUCUUCACUCGAAAUCUCCGAAUGGAGAACUACGAACGGCCCGUAAAACUAAUAUGAUCGAUCUUCGUUGAAGUAUGUAGACAAUAUUACCAUAUCAAAUUCAUAAUGAAACUGAUAUACAGUCGAUAACGGUACAACAUCUUGAUUCGCAUGAAAAUAGUCUUGACGGGACGAUGGGGAAAUCAACACAUAUUUUAUUCGUUUUGAUAAUAGUGUUUAUGAUGGUAUGGAGUAAACCGCCGACCGAGCAGCGUCUUCAUCACUUCCUAUUACAG